UACGAAGGGUGCAAGCGUUCAUCGGAAUUACUGGGCGUAAAGCGCGCGUAGGUGGUUCAGUAAGUUGGAAGUGAAAUCCCCGGGCUCAACCUGGGAACUGCUUUCAAAACUGCUGAGCUAGAGUACGGUAGAGGGUGGUGGAAUUUCCUGUGUAGCGGUGAAAUGCGUAGAUAUAGGAAGGAACACCAGUGGCGAAGGCGACCACCUGGACUGAUACUGACACUGAGGUGCGAAAGCGUGGGGAGCAAACAGG
rnacentral:rRNA from 1 species